rnacentral:rRNA from 1 species
AACGAACGCUGGCGGCAGGCUUAACACAUGCAAGUCGAGCGCCCCGCAAGGGGAGCGGCAGACGGGUGAGUAACGCGUGGGAACGUACCCUUUGCUACGGAAUAGCUCCGGGAAACUGGAAUUAAUACCGUAUGUGCCCUACGGGGGAAAGAUUUAUCGGCAAAGGAUCGGCCCGCGUUGGAUUAGCUAGUUGGUGGGGUAAUGGCCUACCAAGGCGACGAUCCAUGGCUGGUCUGAGAGGAUGAUCAGCCACAUUGGGACUGAGACACGGCCCAAACUCCGACGGGAGGCAGCAGUGGGGAAUAUUGGACAAUGGGCGCAAGCCUGAUCCAGCCAUGCCGCGUGAGUGAUGAAGGCCUUAGGGUUGUAAAGCUCUUUCACCGGAGAAGAUAAUGACGGUAUCCGGAGAAGAAGCCCCGGCUAACUUCGUGCCAGCAGCCGCGGUAAUAC